rnacentral:misc_RNA from 1 species
AGCGUCUGCACUAGGCAGACUCCAUAUGGGGAUGAUCUUUUACUAGUCAAGUCGAGGAAUGAAUGCCUGUUAAGGACUUGAUUAGCUGAUCUGCCAUAGUAGGGUUCCAUCCUCAAGCUAUUAUCAGCUUGGGAAAGGACGAAUUCGCUUCAUUUUGAAGUAGGCGCGCUAUGGAAUUGAAUGCUAGUGUGUCCACAAAAAGGACAAUGAACCCUAGGAAGACAGAUAUUGGAGGUAAACCCUUCAUACUCAUCAUUUGUGGCAGCCUCGUUUACUACCACUGUGCCUAUCGGAAUUCUAGUCUUGUCUCUCUCAUCUCAGACGUCUUUAUUGUACUCCUUUGUUCCCUUGCCAUUCUCGGACUCCUCUUUCGCCAGAUGAACAUCUCGGUACCUGUGGAUCCGCUUGAGUGGCAGAUCUCUCAGGACGCUGCCAACAUGUUUUUUGCCUGCCUCGCCAAUACCGUUGGUGCUGCUGAGUCUGUUCUACGUGUUGCUUCUACUGGCCAUGAUAAGCGCUUGUUCCUUAAGGUUGUGGCUGCUCUGUAUGUUCUAUCAUCUCUGGGAAGGAUAGCUUCGGGUGUUACCAUUGCGUAUGCUGGUCUCUGCUUUCUUUGCCUUUAUAUGCUCGCUGAGAACUUGCAAUUGAUUAGCUCGAGGUAUCCUAGGAGAAGAGACAGCACA